rnacentral:rRNA from 1 species
AUUGAACGCUGGCGGCAGGCCUAACACAUGCAAGUCGAGCGGAUGAAGGGAGCUUGCUCCUGGAUUCAGCGGCGGACGGGUGAGUAAUGCCUAGGAAUCUGCCUGGUAGUGGGGGAUAACGUCCGGAAACGGGCGCUAAUACCGCAUACGUCCUGAGGGAGAAAGUGGGGGAUCUUCGGACCUCACGCUAUCAGAUGAGCCUAGGUCGGAUUAGCUAGUUGGUGGGGUAAAGGCCUACCAAGGCGACGAUCCGUAACUGGUCUGAGAGGAUGAUCAGUCACACUGGAACUGAGAAACGGUCCAGACUCCUACGGGAGGCAGCAGUGGGGAAUAUUGGACGAUGGACGAAAGCCUGAUCCAGCCAUGCCGCGUGUGUGAAGAAGGUCUUCGGAUUGUAAAGCACUUUAAGUUGGGAGGAAGGGCAGUAAGUUAAUACCUUGCUGUUUUGACGUUACCAACAGAAUAAGCACCGGCUAACUUCGUG